ensembl:misc_RNA 7SK 7SK RNA
GGUUUGAUGUGGCUGUGGCAUUUUUCACCCCAUUUAUCACCCAGGGUUCAUUCAACUGAUCUGGCUGGCUAGGCAGGAACCCUUCCUCCCUUAGUGCUCCAUGUGCAUCCCUCACAAAGCCAUAUGCACUGUAGAAGAGGAGGAUUUUCCCUGAUAGAGGACCAUUUUUCAGUCAAGGGUAUAUGAAUAACUGUGUUCUCCUGCUAAAACCUCCAAACAAGCUCUCAACUAACUUAUUUAUGUGGAGGAUCUGAUUAUUGUUUAACUGGAAGUUUCCCAACUCUCUCUUGAGAUGGCAGUUUGUU